rnacentral:rRNA from 1 species
GACGAACGCUGGCGGCGUGCUUAACACAUGCAAGUCGAACGGUGAAGCGCCUUCCUUUUUGGUGGGUGUGGAUGAGUGGCGAACGGGUGAGUAACACGUGAGUAACCUGCCCCCUUCUUCUGGAUAACCGCAUGAAAGUGUGGCUAAUACGGGAUAUUCUGGGUCUGUCGCAUGAUGGGUCUGGGAAAGAUAUUGUUUCGGUGGGGGAUGGGCUCGCGGCCUAUCAGCUUGUUGGUGGGGUGAUGGCCUACCAAGGCGGUGACGGGUAGCCGGCCUGAGAGGGUGGACGGUCACACCGGGACUGAGACACGGCCCAGACUCCUACGGGAGGCAGCAGUGGGGAAUAUUGCACAAUGGGCGCAAGCCUGAUGCAGCGACGCCGCGUGAGGGAUGGAGGCCUUCGGGUUGUGAACCUCUUUCGCCAGUGAAGCAGGCCUGCCUCGUUUGUGGGUGGGUUGACGGUAGCUGGAUAAGAAGCGCCGGCUAACUACGUG